ensembl:misc_RNA
UAAGGGAUUUGGGGUUUUCAGACUCUGGUGGCCAAUCA